GGAGGUUACUGCUAUCGGUGUUCGCCUAACCCAUGCGAGUCAUAUGUUCUUCGUGAACAUGGCGUACUGCUCAGUAACACGUGAAUAACCUGCCCUUGGGACCGGCAUAACCCCGGGAAACUGGGGAUAAUUCCGGAUACCGCAUAUAUGCUGGAAUGCUUUAUGCGUGAAAUGGAUUCGUCUGCCCAAGGAUGGGUCUGCGGCCUAUCAGGUAGUAGUGGGAGUAAUGUACCUACUACCCUACAACGGGUACGGGUUGUGAAAGCAAAAGCCCGGAAAUGGAUUCUGAAACAUGAAUCCAGGCCCUACGGGGCGCACCAGGCGCAAAAACUUUACAAUGCGGGAAACCGUGAUAAGGGGACACCGAGUGCCACCAACAUUUGUUGGCUGUCCAGGUGUGUAAACUACACCUGUUAGCAAGGGCCGGGCAAGACCGGUGC
rnacentral:rRNA from 1 species